rnacentral:rRNA from 1 species
UGGGGAAUAUUGGACAAUGGGGGAAACCCUGAUCCAGCGACGCCGCGUGUGUGAAGAAGGCCUGCGGGUUGUAAAGCACUUUUAGUGGGGAUGAAAAGCUUCGCUCUAAUAAAGCGGGGUCUUGACCUAACCCAAAGAAAAAGCACCGGCUAACUCUGUGCCAGCAGCCGCGGUAAUACAGAGGGUGCGAGCGUUAAUCGGAAUUACUGGGCGUAAAGCGCGCGUAGGUGGUUUUGUAAGUCGGGUGUGAAAGCCCCAGGCUCAACCUGGGAACUGCACUCGAGACUGCAUGACUGGAGUAUGGGAGAGGGCAGUGGAAUUUCCGGUGUAGCGGUGAAAUGCGUAGAUAUCGGAAGGAACAUCAGUGGCGAAAGCGACUGCCUGGACCAAUACUGACGCUCAUGUGCGAAAGCGUGGGGAGCAAACAGG